rnacentral:rRNA from 1 species
UACGUAGGGGGCAAGCGUUGUCCGGAAUCAUUGGGCGUAAAGCGCGCGUAGGCGGCCCGGUAAGUCCGUUGUGAAAGUCAAAGGCUCAACCUUUGAACGCCGAUGGAUACUGCCGGGCUAGAGUCCGGAAGAGGCGAGUGGAAUUCCUGGUGUAGCGGUGGAAUGCGCAGAUAUCAGGAGGAACACCAAUUGCGAAGGCAGCUCGCUGGGACGUUACUGACGCUGAGACGCGAAAGCGUGGGGAGCAAACAGG